AGUGUGGCAUGUGCAUCCCACAUGUUAGCAAAUCCCAUUUCCAAACUUUAAGGGACCACUCUAGUGGCACCCCACAAAGAAAAUAGCAAACGUUUUACAAUGCCAUCGAACUGAUUUAUGCGGCGAACGAAUAUGAGCCCAUAAAGCAGUUCGAUGACUUAAAGCCUGACCCGGCAAAAAAUAGGCUGGGAUCAUAUUACAUUCUGAACACGCAAACAGCGUGUGGUCGUCAAGCGCAAUUCGGUUUGGCGCAAUUAGCCUUCUCCGUAUCUCUCUCUCUCUGAGCAUUCUCUUUUUCGGUGUCGAUCACUGAUUGGUGAUCAAAUACAUAACAAUACAUAAGUGCUUUCAAGUGUCUCCGAACUAAAUAAGUGUCAGAAUAAUUUUGGAUAACUGAAUAAAUCAAUUCUGUCUUGACCCUCAAACCGAGAGGUUCGUUUGCCAUUUUAAUUAUCGAGGAUGAUGACAACCAAAAAGGAGAUUUUCUCUACAUGGCUACCAAAGUGACAGGCUACCAAAGUGAAAAAGUGUGAAAAACAGUUGUGAAGAUUUUGAAGUGAAGAUUUUGCACCAUGACGGUGACAUCGAUCUUAAUUAUAAUGCUAGCAUUAAUUUUGAUGUGCGCAACAGUGGCAUUAAUGCAGCAAGUAAUCACCGAGUGGGCUAAAGGAAUGGAAAAGGCACAAUUUGCCAUAUUAACGAACUAACUGAAGUGAAAUAAAACGGACAAGGAGCGUUAGAACAGUGUAGUUUGAGUGAAUCAGCAACAUGGGCACUACGGAGUCCAAGAACACGGAAAAUAAAGGAACAUUCACGGAAGCAAGCUUUAAAAGCUGCGAAGAGUGUGUCGGCUUUAAAUAAACUAAGUGAGGUUUAAAAAAAAAAAAAAA